rfam:Mason-Pfizer monkey virus, complete genome.
UGGCGCCCAACGUGGGGCUGGAUACGAGGGAAUUUCGUGAGGAAGACGACGCGUUCGCCGGCCGGCGAUUAAAAGUGAAAGUAAACUCUCUUGGCCGCCGCGGGAACCUGCCGCGUUGGACCUGAAAGUAAGUGUUGCGCUCGGAUAUGGGGCAAGAAUUAAGCCAGCAUGAACGUUAUGUAGAACAAUUGAAGCAGGCUUUAAAGACACGGGGAGUAAAGGUUAAAUAUGCUGAUCUUUUGAAAUUUUUUGAUUUUGUGAAGGAUACUUGUCCUU